rnacentral:rRNA from 1 species
UGGCGAACGGGUGAGUAACACGUAGGCAACCUACCUCAGGGCGGGGGACAACUCCGAGAAAUCGGGGCUAAUACCGCAAAGACCACGGACUGGAAUGUUUGUGGUAAAAUCUCGAGCAAUCGGGAACCUUGGGAUGGGCCUGCGGCCUAUCAGGUAGUUGGCGGGGUAACGGCCCACCAAGCCUAUGACGGGUAGCCGGUCUGAGAGGAUGGACGGCCACACUGGAACUGAGACACGGUCCAGACUCCUACGGGAGGCAGCAGUGGGGAAUUUUGCGCAAUGGGGGAAACCCUGACGCAGCGACGCCGCGUGGAGGAUGAAGGCCUUCGGGUUGUAAACUCCUUUUGAGGGGGAAAAUAAUGAUGGUACCCCUCGAAUAAGCCACGGCUAACUCUGUGCCAGCAGCCGCGGUAAGACAGAGGUGGCAAGCGUUGUUCGGAAUCACUGGGCUUAAAGGGCGUGUAGGCGUCCCGACAAGUCAGAUGUGGAAUCUUUCCGCUUAACGGGAAAAUUGCAUUUGAAACUGUCGGGAUUGAGUCAGUGAGGGGAGGGCGGAAUUCCCGGUGUAGCAGUGAAAUGCGUAGAUAUCGGGAGGAAGGCCGGUGGCGAAGGCGGCCCUCUGGCGCUUGACUGACGCUGAGGCGCGAAAGCGUGGGUAGCAAACAGGAUUAGAUACCCUGGUAGUCCACGCCCUAAACGGUGGGCAUUAGGUGUAGGGCUCGCAAGGGUUCUGUGCCGCAGGGAAACCAUUAAAUGCCCCGCCUGGGGAGUACGGCCGCAAGGUUGAAACUCAAGGAAUUGACGGGGGCCCGCACAAGCGGUGGAGCAUGUGGUUUAAUUCG